rnacentral:rRNA from 1 species
AAGCGCUCAUGACCAGACGUGGGCCUGUCGGAUCAUCCUGGGUUCUCCCGGGUGCACUCCUUCAGUCCCAGGCCAGCAUCAGUUCGCCUCGGGGGACAAAGGCUUCGGGAAUGUGGCUCCCCUCGGGGAGUGUUAUAGCCCGUUGCGUAAUACCCUGCGGCGGACUGAGGACCGCGCAUCUGCAAGGAUGCUGGCGUAAUGGUCAUCAGCGA